UACGUAGUGUGCAAGCGUUAAUCGGAAUUACUGGGCGUAAAGCGUGCGCAGGCGGCUUUGCAAGACAGAGGUGAAAUCCCCGGGCUUAACCUGGGAACUGCAUUUGUGACUGCAAGGCUGGAGUGCGGCAGAGGGGGAUGGAAUUCCGCGUGUAGCAGUGAAAUGCGUAGAUAUGCGGAGGAACAACGAUGGCGAAGGCAAUCCCCUGGGCCUGCACUGACGCUCAUGCACGAAAGCGUGGGGAGCAAACAGG
rnacentral:rRNA from 1 species